CUUCCUUUUCUGGUCUCGCCGACGGCGACGGGCACCACCGCCUCCGCCUUCUCUCCCACAACGAACAGAGAAAGGAAAAUAUAAGGAAGAAAAGGUAAAAAAACAUGGAAACCCUUCUUUCUACUUUAGUUUUUUUCUGUUUUCACUUCGAUUCGGGUUUGCAUGUUGUCUGCAAACCCCGAUCUGUGGAUUUACGAUCUGAGUUUUCUGAUUUUUAUAUGCUUUCCCUAAUUUCUGUUGUCAUUAUAUUGGGUUUUGUUUUCAAUAAAAAUGGGGAUCGGUGGAGCCGGAGAGGCAGAAGCAGGAAACAAAAAUAAAAGUCUCCGUCGACGACGGACUCGCCGGAGCAAAGGACGAGAAAGGUAAAAGGUUGAACCCUCCAUUUCUUCUAAUCUCCGGAGCAAAGGACGAGAAAGGUAAAAGGUUGAACCUUCUAUUUAUUCUGAUUUUACUUGGUUGAUGAUGGUAGUUUUAUUUGAUUAGGUCGCUUGGAAUAAAAUAUGGGCUAUUUUGUUGUUACGACGAGUUUAGUAAUCUGAACCCUUUUUUAAAAAAAAAAAUUACCCAUUUGUUUGAAAUGUUAUUAUUAUGGGUCAUCCUUGAUAAAAUUCCAGCAACUUGUUAAGUUUUGAAUCUUAUUUUAGGGUUUGCCAGCACGUUUAUCAACAUGAAACGUUCCCUUUAUUGGUCGUAAUGAAUAUUCGAGGAUGAUUUUUAAGAGAGUAUAGGUGCCACAAAAUGUAUGUAUGAAUAUUGCACGAAUACUUUUGAAUAGGAAUGUUUAGAUGAUUACCUUUGAAUCGAAGCUUCUUUUUUUUUCUCGUGUUUCAGGUUGUAGCCCCUUGCGAAUGACGACAAAGUGAAUGGCGGUAGAAUCGGUUGUACUUAGUUUAGCUCGUGGUUGUAACUUGUUGUAAUAAUUUUUCUUCUUUAUUUUG
rnacentral:lncRNA from 1 species